CCUCCUAAGGGUGUGUAACUUCAUGAGGAAAAGAUGAUCACGAUGAAAAAACAUCUGGAUGUGUCUGUUACAUGCUCCAGAAUUGCAUAGCCUCCAGCCCAGAAGGAUUCUUCCUAUACAGCCUCUGCUGUCUCCUCUACUCACCCCGGUGCUUCUUGCUCUCCUUGGACUGGGGAAAAUGGGGAAGGAGGAAAGAAAAGAAGAAAGUUCCAUCCUAGUUGACCCAUGCUUUAGACUCUGGAUUCUCUUCAAAUCUUGACCCAUGCAGUUACUUGUAUUUGUAUAGCACACGUACUGGUGUGGUGGGCUCACUUGAAAGUCCUUUACGGGCUUCUCAGAAGACUUCUGUGGACAACCAAUCACCACCCAAAUGUUUCACUCUGGUCUGACAGGUGUGGGACAUGCACUUCUUGGAUGUUGCAGUCUGAGCUGGUUAGUUUUAGCUAUCCCUUGACACAACCUAAAAUCACCUGGAAAAGAGUUUUAAUGAGGAAUUAUCUAGAUCAGGUUAACUUCUGGACAUGUCUGUGGGGGUUUUGAUUCUUAGUUGAUGUAGGAAGACCCUGUCCACUGUGGGUGACAUCCCUAUGGUGGGCCCUGAACUGUUUAAGAAUGAAAAAAGCUAGCUAGCCAAUUAGCAAGUAGAGCUGUGCUUAUUCUCUCCUUGCUAAGAAUGAGACGUGACCAGCUCCUUGGUUUCCUACAUUGACUCCCUUGAAAUGAUGGACUAGGAAUUAUAAUAAAAAUAAAUCUUUUUCUCUUGU